rnacentral:rRNA from 1 species
UACGUAGGGUGCAAGCGUUUGUCCGGAAUUAUUGGGCGUAAAGAGCUCGUAGGCGGUCUGUCGCGUCGGCUGUGAAAACCCGGGGCUCAACCCCGGGCCUGCAGUCGAUACGGGCAGACUAGAGUGCGGUAGGGGAGACUGGAUUCCUGGUGUAGCGGUGAAAUGCGCAGAUAUCAGGAGGAACACCGGUGGCGAAGGCGGGUCUCUGGGCCGAUAUUGACGCUGAGGAGCGAAAAGCGUGGGGGAGCGAACAGG